GAUUGCUCCCGGCCGAGAAGCCCCGCAGCUAGAAUGUGGUUUUUUUCCUCCUCAGAAAGGGAAAACUGCGAGACUUGAAGCGCGACUGCAAGUGCUUCUUCUGGUCAGCUUGGAGGUCUCCGAGCCCCGGGAUUGGCGGCCCAAACCCCUACUCUUCCCGCCCUGGGAGGAAUCUGAAUCGGAGCCAAUUCAACGCGCUCGGAGCCCCCAACACCCAAGCACCCACAUCUGCUCUGCAGCGCGAGCGAGAAAGCUUGCGUGGAGCUUGCGGGAUGGGGCGUGCAUGGAGCGGAUGGCGAGGAGGGACGCGGGGGACGACCGAGGCUGGGGGAAAAGCGCCGGGAGAGGGGUGCAGUCCGAUCUGCCCCACGCGCUGGGGGCGCGGGCUCCCGUGCGCCCCAGGCCAGGCCCCGAAGCGAGCAAACGUGAGCGCAGAUCGGCCUCCCUUUCACCAGAGAGCGGGCGUUUCGUUGAGAAGGAAAACCAUCCGGAAAGAAAGUCAGCUUGCGCAUUUGUUUUGGCGUUUCGUCUGUUUGCCUCCCAAUUAAAAAGUGGCCGCCUAGGCGACAGCUUUGCGGUUUUCACAGUGUAAAACGGAUUAGAGGAAAAGCUCCAGCCCCUCUCGACUUUCGCUUGCGGUUUGCAACCCCCGGGGCGGGUGUGACCCUGCGACACCUGCGCAGGCGAGCUUCCCCUGCGGCGGCCCGACAGCGGCCCCGGCUUCCCUGGGGCGGGGCCCCGCAGGGCGGAGCCAGGGCUGCGCGCCCGGGGGAAGGGAGGUUCCCACGGUGCAGGUCCUGGGUGUGCUGGUGUCCUGGGGCAGCCCCCGGGGGCCUCCAUCUCCAGGACACGGAGGAGGGAAGAGCAAAGCAAAGGAAUUUACUGCAGAUGGCACUGGAACCAAAGUUGGCGUGUUCCUGUCCUGCUCAGUGCUCGUAGGUUUUCCCCAAGAAUCCAGAAUUCGCUGAGGACACUUAUAUCCAAGAAACGAUGAGUUAACACGCACAUUUAGUUAAAAAGAAAAAAGGAAAGAAAGAAAAACUGCUCUUCUAUCCUCUCCACGUUCCCAGAUUUCACCAAAUAAACCAAGGGUCCGGGCGAGAAUAGGCUGAAGCUGGGGCGCCGGAGAUGCGCAAGGAGGGGUUCCCGCGGGCGCGUCGCCCCUCCGCGGCCUCUUGCACCCGCAACUGCCCACGAGUUUGCGGGGUGUGGGCGCCGGAUGCGAUUCCCGGAUCGGCCAGUCUCAUCCCGAACACUUGGAUCCGAAAGAUCCGUGGACAGACCCUCGGCGACGCUUUCCUGCUGGCUUUCUGCUUUUAAUAAACGAAAAUAAAGUUUGCUUUCAGGUUAAAAAAA
rnacentral:lncRNA from 1 species